CGUGACUGGGCAUGCGCUCGAGUUACCUGUCCAGCGCGGCCUUGCAAUGAAGCGUGGUUUACUGCUCCCAACACGCACCAGCCCCAGGCCUCCGAUUGGCACCCACAUGGGCUUCUGGGAGUUGUAGUUUUUCGGAGCCUUCGCUCCCUUGUCCUGAAAUGACCUAUCGCCCACCUCUCACCGCUCCUGGCCUGAGGGGCUCCGCGGCCUCCCGGGCGAUUGGCCGAGUCACGGCUGGGUCUGGCCUCUACGGCAGGGAACUGAAGGGCAGCCGUCGCGGAGCAGACAGUCGCUACGGCCCUGCCACUGCACUUAAUAGUGGAGCUCCACGAGUGGGGAAAGAAGAAAAGCUGUCAUGCAAGCAUCCUUGAAGAAGGGUCAAUUUCUUUGUCAAGUCUAGAGCUGAUGACUGGAUUUUUACACAUAUUUGACAAUACAGUCCAAACACAAUGGAAAUCAACUACAAAGUGAAAUUGCACGUCUCACGAAAGAUAAUUUUAUGAGAUUGAUGAAAGAAGGCCAAUGAGCUUAGUCCACAGUGAAAGAGGGGAAAAGACAUUGACAUUGAAGAGAUGCAGCUCCACAUGCAUGAAAUGACACCUGUAUGAAGUUUUUCAUUGUUGCAUUAUUUGUUCAGCGAAAGGUACCUGGUUAAAUAAACGAUGAUAUGAUAAGCAGCGGGAAAAACAAAUAAGGAAGAUCUCUAUGUGCUAAUAUGAAAAGAGCUUUAGGAUGUAUUGGUAAGUGAAAAAAAGCAAGAUAUAGAACACUGUAGAAUAGUCUCUAUAGUAGGCUACCUUUUAUGUAAUAAGGUGAGAGAUAUAUUUGCAUAUGCCUGCAUUUGCCUUAAAAAUCCUAGAAGGAUUAAAAAAAAAAGAUACCAAUGGAAAUAAAUAUCAUUAGAGAGUUGGAGUGAGGGAUGCAGGAGUAGGUUAUAGAGUUCUCUGGGCCUAUCUUUUUAUAGUGUGUUGAACUUCGAACCAUGUAAAUGUUGUACCUAAUAAAAAUGAAUACAUUUAAAAAUCACUCUGGCUGCUCUGAGAGUAGUUGUAGAGACAAAGAGUAGAAGCUGGGAGACCAUUAGGAAGGUGGUGAAGUUGGUUGGGCAGGUGUAGAUGGUGGCUGGCUCUGGAAGGAAGCAGUGGAGGUGGUGAGAAGGAGUCAGGUUGGGGGUGCAGAGCCAGGUGGACUUGCUGAUGGAUUGGAUGUCGCAUGUGAGAGAAGAAAAAAAAAAAAGAAAUCAAGGAUAAUUCCUAAUAUUUGUCUUGGGCAGCUGGAGGAGAGAAAAUGGAGUAGAGGUGGGGAAGGGGCAGGGAAAAUUGAGAACCAAGGGUCUGUUUUGGACUCGUGAAGACUGAUAUGUCUCUUGGAUGUCCAAGUGGAAAUGCCCACAACUAGAGAGAAACAUCCAGAAGAAUUAAGACAGCAGAGGUGUUUCUAAAGAUGAGUUCAACUCCCCAUGAGUUUUAACUAAAGGACUGAGAGACUGUGGGAAAAUUAAUAAAACCCUCAAGCAUUUUGUUAAAUGUCCAUCUUCAUUGUCAUGCUGCACAAAUAAAAUACAAAGGAAAAAUGUCA